rnacentral:lncRNA from 1 species
GGCGUCGGUCUCGUAAACCGAAGAUCGCGGGUUCGAACCCCGUCCGUGCCUCAAAGGGCCGUCCCCGCUCUGCGGCGGCUCCAGCGGGGAGGCAAGGCGGAGGAGCCCCGGGCAGAGAGCCGCUUUUUGCCAUCCCGACCCGGACUUUCCGGAGAAGAAGAGGAAGAAGAAAAAGCGGAGUAUUUGGAGGAAAGGGGGCGGGGGAUUAAGGCGAAGCAAACAAGCCAGGAGGAAUGCAGCAGCAGGCAAGUUCCUCCCGGGCAGCGAAGGCGCGUGGGGUUUCCACGCCAGUCCGUGCAGCGCCGCAUUGCGCUGGGGAGCAAAGACAGCGCCUCCAUCCCUUGGGUCUUGGCCUUGCAAACGCCAUCCCGUCUCAAUGGACUUCGAUUCGGAUUCGCUCUCCUUCGAAUCGGAUGGCCUUGGGGUCCCUUCCGAAUGGACAGCGAUAGGAUUCGAUGAGGAAUGAAUGGAAGGAAGGAAAGGAGUCUUCAUUUCUACGACCGAACUAGGGAUCACCCAAGACACAGGGUCUCUUUGCUUUAACUACCACUUGAGGUUAUCGACUGCCUCUGCCAAAUUUGGGGGAACCAGGGGUGGAAGGAUGGGUUGGAUAGGUGCAAAUACUAUAAGAUAGCCCCUUGCGUAUCAUCCAAAAAAAAUCAUAUGGGUGUGUGUGAACAGAGAAUUGCACAGAGAAGUGUCACAUUCUACUUAUUUUAUGUUGGAUUUUAGCCAGAAUGUGAAAUUGUCCCUCUUUUUGUACUCUCUUGGGACGUAAGUACUUAAAUGCUGCAAUCUUUUGCCCACUUACCUGGUCUAAGACUCAUAUAACUCAUCUAAUGUUUCAGUGGACAUUAAGGUUUCCAGAUGUCUUUUUAUUAUAAAUGCUCCCGCAGUUUGAAGGCUGGAACAUUUUUCUUUUUGUAGAGAUGGAACAAGAUACCAAAAAGAUAUGUUUAUUUAAAGCGUGGGCUUUCACAAAGUCGGAAAUGUGUGCAUGAUGUAAUGGAUGGACGUGGGCAAAGUGUUAAUUUUACAGAGAAACACUUGGGCAGGUUCACUGAAACCAAUACUUCCGUUUUGUAUUUAGAUUGACUAUAAACUUGUUAACAGCUACUUCCUAAUUGCCUGGCCUGCACAUCUUGAAUAUUGACUUUCUUGUGAAAAAAAGGGGGAGGAAUACCAGUGGAGAUGUGUGGGAUUACUCUAAAACUGACAAGGCACAAGGGCUAGAUUCAGAUCGGCAGUCUCAUUUCCACAUGCAUCAUACAAAGUGUGUGGUUUUAAAAGCACUAGACCAGGGGUCCCCAAACUAAGGCCCGGGGGCCGGAUGCGGCCCUCCAAGGUCAUUUACCUGGCCCCCGCCCUCAGUUUUAUAAUAUAAUAUUUUUCUAUCAGUUUUAAUAAUAUAAUAUAUUGUAUAUACAUAUAAUAUUGAUAAUGUUAUUCAAUAUAGUACUAAUAAUACCAUAUAAUAAUAUUAAUUAUUAAUAUAUUACAUAUAAUAUUACAGUAUAGUGGUAUAGUUCAAUAUAGUAAUAUAUAAUGCUAAUAUUGUGCUAUGCUAAUGAUAUAAUGUAUUGUAUGUACAUACAGCUGCUCUGAGUCCCCUUCUGGGUGAGAAGGGUGGGAUAUAAAUGUAGUAAAUAAAUGCAGUAAAUAAAUAAUUAAUUUUAGACUUAAGCUCGGCCAAAGUCUGAUAUGACUUGAAGGCACACAACAACAACAACAAUCCUAAUUAACUUGACUAUCUCAUUGACCAGUAGCAGACCCACACUUUCCAUUGAAAUCCUAAUAGGUUUAUGUUGGUUAAAAUUGUUUUCAUUUUUAAAUAUUGUAUUGUUCUUUUGUUGUUGUUGCACUACAAAUAAGACAUGUGCAGUAUGCAUAGGAAUUUGUUUGUAUUUUUUGUCAAAUGAUAAUUCGGCCCCUCCACAGUCUGAAAGAUUGUGGACUGGCCCUCUGCUUAAAAAGUUUGGGGACUCCUGCACUAGACCCUUUGUUAUAAAGCUGUCAAUCUCUGUAUUUGCUCGAGGAAAAUGUGAAUGUGGGCAAGAGCCAUGUUUUUUUUUUUUCACUGUGCGAGGGUAGAACAGCUUCUGUAUGUUUGGCUUGUAACAGUGAGAACAAAAUGCUCACUCAUCUCUGUAUCUCUCCCCCUCCGUAUAUUCUCAGUGAUAGUGGCAAGUGCAGGAGAGAGGUGAACUGAGCUUCUGAUUCAGCACAUGAUUUCUCUGACGGUUGCGCCAUUUGAGGCCCAGGAACCUCCUGGAAUUUGACCUCCUUGGGUUUUACGCAAGAUCAGGGAGAAAGCAGCGCAUAUUUUCAAUUCUGGGCAGCAGCCCCAAAGCUCAAGCAAGGUAUCUGUUGGAAUUCCAGGGGAAAUUGCAGGGGAACAAAGCCUCGAUUCUGAGGAGACCCCUUCCUUAGCUGUCCCUCCCCUUUCCCCCUCUUUUGAAGGGGCAACAAGCAUCUCCCAUCCCCCAGCUACAAAAGGGCUGCCAGCAAUUUAGAAAGAAAAUGUUCUUGAGUUUCUAUUGUUUCAUUCAAAUGCUUUGGGAGUAGAAGCAGCUUCGCUACAUAAGGUCAAGCUAAAGGUUUCCCCCUGAUAUUAAGUCUAGUCGUGUCCAACUCUGAGGGCUGGUGCUCAUCUCCAUUUCUAAGCCGAAGAGCUGGCAUUGUCCGUAGACACCUCCAAAGUCAUGUGGCCAGCAUGACUACAUGGAGCGCUGUUACCUUUCCGCCAGAGCUGUACCUAUUGAUCUACUCACAUUUGCAUGUUUUCGAACUGCUAGGUUGGCAGAAGCUGAGGCUAACAGCAGGAGCCCACCCCACUCCCCAGAUUCAAACCAUCGACCUUUCACUCAGCAGUUUACCCACUACGCCACCAGAGGCUCCUAUCUCCACUGU